rnacentral:rRNA from 1 species
AUUGAACGCUGGCGGCAGGCUUAACACAUGCAAGUCGAGCGGAGCGAGGGUGCUUGCACCUUAGCUUAGCGGCGGACGGGUGAGUAAUGCUUAGGAAUCUGCCUAUUAGUGGGGGACAACAUUCCGAAAGGAAUGCUAAUACCGCAUACGCCCUACGGGGGAAAGCAGGGGAUCUUCGGACCUUGCGCUAAUAGAUGAGCCUCAGUCGGAUUAGCUAGUUGGUGGGGUAAAGGCCUACCAAGGCGACGAUCGGUAGCGGGUCUGAGAGGAUGAUCCGCCACACUGGGACUGAGACACGGCCCAGACUCCUACGGGAGGCAGCAGUGGGGAAUAUUGGACAAUGGGCGGAAGCCUGAUCCAGCCAUGCCGCGUGUGUGAAGAAGGCCUUUUGGUUGUAAAGCACUUUAAGCGAGGAGGAGGCUACUUAGAUUAAUACUCUGGGAUAGUGGACGUUACUCGCAGAAUAAGCACCGGCUAACUCUGUGCCAGCCGCCGCUGUAA